rnacentral:rRNA from 1 species
GAUGAACGCUGGCGGCGUGCCUAAUACAUGCAAGUAGAACGCUGAAGCGAGGAGCUUGCUCUUCUUGGAUGAGUUGCGAACGGGUGAGUAACGCGUAGGUAACCUGCCUUGUAGCGGGGGAUAACUAUUGGAAACGAUAGCUAAUACCGCAUAACAAUGGAUGACACAUGUCAUUUAUUUGAAAGGGGCAAUUGCUCCACUACAAGAUGGACCUGCGUUGUAUUAGCUAGUAGGUGAGGUAAUGGCUUACCUAGGCGACGAUACAUAACCGACCUGAGAGGGUGGUCCGGCAAACCUGGAACGGGGCACCGCCCAAGACUCCAAGGGGAGCAGGAGGAAGGAAACUUCGGGCAAGGGGGCAAACCUGAACGAAGAACGGCGCGGUGAGGGAGGAGGGUUUCGGGUCGGAAAAAUCCGUUUAAAAGGGAAGACGAGAUGUGGAAGUGAAAGUUCACACUUUGACGGUAGCUAACCAGAAAGGGACGGCUAACUACGUG